CCCCCUACUGGAUGGAUUUCCAACACCUGAAAGAGCCCAUCAUCAUUCCUUACUAUAAUCAUGUUUGCAUUGCAAGUGACAUCUGGCUGACAGGAACUUGGAGAAAUGGGAUACGAAGUGAAUGCUGCAGUUACCACGAGCAUCAUAUUUAUC
rnacentral:lncRNA from 1 species